rnacentral:rRNA from 1 species
UACGUAGGGUGCGAGCGUUGUCCGGAAUUACUGGGCGUAAAGAGCUCGUAGGUGGUUUGUCGCGUUGUUCGUGAAAUCUCACGGCUUAACUGUGAGCGUGCGGGCGAUACGGGCAGACUGGAGUACUGCAGGGGAGACUGGAAUUCCUGGUGUAGCGGUGGAAUGCGCAGAUAUCAGGAGGAACACCGGUGGCGAAGGCGGGUCUCUGGGCAGUAACUGACGCCGAGGAGCGAAAGCGUGGGGAGCGAACAGG